rnacentral:rRNA from 1 species
AGAGAGAGACAUGCGCGCAUAUCAAUAAGCGGAGGAAAAGAAACUAACUAGGAUUCCCUCAGUAACGGCGAGUGAAGCGGGAAGAGCUCAAAUUUGAAAUCUUCAAGGGUUCUACCUUUACGAAUUGUAGUUUAAAGAAGUGUUUUCUGUUGAGGUUUUGGUAAAAGUUCUUUGGAAUAGGACAUCAUAGAGGGUGAGAAUCCCGUAUUUGACCAUUAUUUCCAGCUUUGUGAUACACUUUCAAAGAGUCGGAUUGUUUGGGAAUGCAGUCCAAAAUGGGUGGUAAAUUUCAUCUAAAGCUAAAUACUGGCGAGAGACCGAUAGCGAACAAGUACCGUGAGGGAAAGAUGAAAAGAACUUUGAAAAGAGAGUUAAACAGUACGUGAAAUUGUCAAAAGGGAAGCGUUUGACACCAGUGUUGUUUUCUCGAAAAUCAAUUAAAAAAGGCAGGAUUUUGUGUUGUACUGACUUUAUCAGCUUUCUGCACUCUUUUCUUGUCUUUUUUAAUGCACUUUUCGUUUAACAAGUCAACAUCAAUUUCUUUUGUUGUAAAAGGGUCAUUGGAAGGUGGCUUUCUUUUCGGAGAAAGUGUUUAUAGCCUUUGGCCUCUGCAAUCGGAGAGAUUGAGGUCUGCAGCGUAGAUCCUUCGGGUUAGAUACAUUUGUGCUAAGUUAUAGCCUUUCAUAGACAACUUGUUGACUAUGAUCAGUCAUGUAGCUUACUCGCUUAUGCUAUUUUACCUACGCUUAGGAUGUUGAUGUGAUACUGCGAGC